UGGCACAGUGGUUAAGUGUCUGGCUGCUAAUCAGAAUGUUGGUGGUUCGAACCCACC
rnacentral:tRNA from 1 species